UACGGAGGAUGCGAGCGUUAUCCGGAUUUAUUGGGUUUAAAGGGAGCGUAGACGGGAUGUUAAGUCAGCUGUGAAAGUUUGGGGCUCAACCUUAAAAUUGCAGUUGAAACUGGCAUUCUUGAGUGCGGCAGAGGCAGGCGGAAUUCGUGGUGUAGCGGUGAAAUGCUUAGAUAUCACGAAGAACUCCGAUUGCGAAGGCAGCUUGCUGGACCGUAACUGACGUUGAUGCUCGAAAGUGCGGGUAUCAAACAGG
rnacentral:rRNA from 1 species